GUCGACUGCCACCAGGGUAACCUAGAUGUCCUAGAUGUUUGUACGCACUUAGGACAAAGUUCGAUAAUAGCUUCAUGUCGAGAAAUAAUAUAAUGUUAUCGAAAGUACAUAAAUAAUAAUUAAAUAUGUUACCAUCGCAGUUCACAAAAACAAGGUUAUAAUCACAGUUAGGUGAGCAACAAAAACAGUUAGGUCGUUUGCCACCAACACCAAGAAAAUCCACAUGUUUAUAUGUACGCACUUAAAACAAAGUUCGAUAAUGAUAAUGACUAUGUCAAGAAGCAAUAAUGUUAUCACAGUUGCAUAAUUAAUAAUAUAUUAACAAGAAGAAUAAAAAUGAUUCCACGAGCGUUAGGAGCAUCAAGUCGAACGUGCUUUAAGAGGCCUGAAGCCCGAAUUUCGAUUCAUACAUCUUGAAAAUAGUAUGAAAUUUAAAAGUUAAUUAAUGAGAAUCCCAUUUAUAUAAUGCUUUCUUACUUCUCAAUAAAUGCAAAUUCUUAGUCAACUCUAUGAUUAUAUAAAAUUGUUUAGAACUAUUAUUGUCUUACUGACAAAUAUAUUAGAGGAGGUAUACACUAUUAUCGAAUUUUGAUAGAUUCUUGCGUAUAAAACUAUAAAACUUUUAUUUUAUGAUACAGUCUUCUUAACAAUGUGCUUAUGUAUCUAUUUUUGAUAUCUUAAUAUACAAUAACAUAUUUUAAAUGAACUGAUAUAAAUAUUGUCACUUAUUGCUUUAUACACGUCGAUGAUGUUAUACAUUAAUAAAAAAUAUGAUAUUAAUAAUUAUGUAAUGGCUCAUGGUACAUGCAAGAUAUGGCAGUGCGUUUUCUGGUUUUUUUGUGAAAGAUUCUAAAUCUUUCACAUGUUUCUAAUGGGUUAUAUAACAUUCCCAGUCUUAGAAAACUAAUUCUACUUUUGAAAAAUAUAUAUACACAUGUAUGUUAUCUUAAUAUGUUAUCUUAACUUUGUUUAAACUUUAUAUUAAAUUAAAGUUAAUUUAGGUAUUUGCGGUAUAUAUACAUUCGCUUUCUUACUUUUAAUAGAAUUUGUUACAAUUAUACACAUCUUACUUAACUUAUUUAAUUAAAGUCAUACAACUAAGCUAUUAAAUGCAAUUAUGAUGUGAAUAUAAUAUUUAAUAUUAUAUUAUACAUAUUAUAUAAUUUAAUAUUUAAUAUUAAAUAUUUAAUUAUAUAUAUUUACAUCAUGAAACACAAUGACAUGAAAUAAAAGAAGUUAAUGAAAAGUAUAAUUCUUAAUAUCAUUAUAAAAAAGAUGUGAUUGAUUGAAAUAUUAAGAUAUCAUUGUGUGUAAAUAAAUAACUGUAUCAUGAAUAUGAGAAAGUUGAAAACUUGCAUUCGUAUCUUGCAACUACUGCCUAAUACUGUGUACAAGGAAUAAGAAAUACAAACACAAAUAUUAUUUGCCGAUUUCUAAUGCACAUUUCCUAAUGUAUGUACACUAAGUCAUAACAUUGCUGCUGAUAAAUUAAUUAUAUAAAAAAUAAUAAUUAUUUCAUUCUCAAUGUAUAUUACAUUGUAUAUUUGUAAUUAAAGUAAUUUGUAAUUAAGUGUAUGUAAGGUACACCUACUUAGAAAGACCCCUUAAAUUAACUUAAAUCAUGGAUUGUUUUGCAAAAUUAUUAUAUGUAGUUAUGUUUAAUAAUUUAACACAGGGAGCCAACUAUAAAAAUAAACUAUAAGGGGUACAUGACUACUAUCGACUAUUUGAUAAGAUUUAAAUGUGAAUUUUAAUUCUUAAUUAAAUUUGUAAUUGUAACAAAUAAAUGUGAUUCUUAAUACUCA